rfam:Wallemia ichthyophaga EXF-994 unplaced genomic scaffold scaffold14, whole genome shotgun sequence.
GUCAGGAUGGCCGAGCGGUUAAGGCGCUUGACUUGAAUGUCUGAGACGUUAUCAAGUACCAUUUGGUGCGUAGGUUCGAAUCCUGCUCCUGACG